GGAAGUAAAAGUCGUAACAAGGUCUCCGUUGGUGAACCAGCGGAGGGAUCAUUACCGAGUUUACAACUCCCAAACCCUUAUGUGAACCGUACCUAUCGUUGCUUCGGCGGGAACGCCCCGGCGCCCUGCGCCCGGAUCCAGGCGCCCGCCGGAGACCCCAAACUCUUGUGUUUUUUUCAGUAUUCUCUGAGUGGCAAACGCAAAAAUAAAUCAAAACUUUUAACAACGGAUCUCUUGGCUCUGGCAUCGAUGAAGAACGCAGCGAAAUGCGAUAAGUAAUGUGAAUUGCAGAAUUCAGUGAAUCAUCGAAUCUUUGAACGCACAUUGCGCCCGUUAGCAUUCUAGCGGGCAUGCCUGUCCGAGCGUCAUUUCAACCCUCAGGGUCCCCGUUCCGGCGGGGAACCUGGUGUUGGGGAUCGGCCCGCCCCGCGCGGCGCCGUCCCCCAAAUUCAGUGGCGGUCUCGCUGCAGCCUCCCCUGCGUAGUAGUUACAACCUCGCAUCGGAGCUCAGCGCGGCCACGCCGUAAAACCCCCGACUUUCUGAACGUUGACCUCGGAUCAGGUAGGAAUACCCGCUGAACUUAAGCAUAUCAAUAAGCGGAGGA
rnacentral:rRNA from 1 species